GAUGAACGCUGGCGGCGUGCCUAACACAUGCAAGUCGAGCGAUCUUCUUCGGAAGAGAGCGGCGGACGGGUGAGUAACGCGUGGGUAACCUGCCCUGUACACACGGAUAACAUACCGAAAGGUAUGCUAAUACGGGAUAACAUAAGAAAGUCGCAUGGAUUUCUUAUCAAAGCUUUUGCGGUACAGGAUGGACCCGCGUCUGAUUGGCUAGUUGGUAAGGUAACGGCUUACCAAGGCGACGAUCAGUAGCCGACCUGAGAGGGUGAUCGGCCACAUUGGAACUGAGACACGGUCCAAACUCCUACGGGAGGCAGCAGUGGGGAAUAUUGCACAAUGGGCGAAAGCCUGAUGCAGCAACGCCGCGUGAGCGAUGAAGGCCUUCGGGUCGUAAAGCUCUGUCCUCAAGGAAGAUAAUGACGGUACUUGAGGAGGAAGCCCCGGCUAACUACGUGCCAGCAGCCGCGGUAAUACGUAGGGGGCUAGCGUUAUCCGGAAUUACUGGGCGUAAAGGGUGCGUAGGCGGUCUUUCAAGUCAGAAGUGAAAGGCUACGGCUCAACCGUAGUAAGCUUUUGAAACUGUAAGACUUGAGUGCAGGAGAGGAGAGUGGAAUUCCUAGUGUAGCGGUGAAAUGCGUAGAUAUUAGGAGGAACACCAGUUGCGAAGGCGGCUCUCUGGACU
rnacentral:rRNA from 1 species